rnacentral:rRNA from 1 species
AUGAGUCCAAAUAAACAGGGGCUGGGUUUGAACAUGCACAGUUUUGAAAUUUUCCAUCCUCAUGUCAUGUUGACACCACAUGUUGGAAUAGAGAUAUUACGAGAUCAGAAAUCUCUUCCUAGUUGGGAAAGGAAGAUGGCGACUGUUGGAGUUGCUGGGACACUUUGGGGGAUCCAGAAGGCCAAAAAAUAUGGCAUGUUUCGAGCUGCGAUCCCAGCUCACUUGCCUCUCAUGUUUGCUACGUGCUGGAUUGGCAACCGCUGGAGCUUGGUACAAGCGAGGCGACGGAGGGAAAAAGGGAGGCACCGCAACAGGGCUGUAUCUCUUGCGCGCCGUGUCUCUACUACGUCUACGUACCGGGUGGUUCAUCUCGGGUUAAUUUUCUGUUACUGA